GACGUAGGAGGCGAGCGUUGUCCGGAAUUACUGGGCGUAAAGCGUGCGCAGGCGGUUUUGUAAGCCAGAUGUGAAAUCCCCGGGCUUAACCUGGGAAUGGCAUUUGGGACUGCAAGGCUUGAGUGCGGCAGAGGAGACUGGAAUUCCUGGUGUAGCAGUGAAAUGCGUAGAUAUCAGGAGGAACACCGAUGGCGAAGGCAGGUCUCUGGGCUGACACUGACGCUCAUGCACGAAAGCGUGGGGAGCAAACAGG
rnacentral:rRNA from 1 species